GACGAACGCUGGCGGCGCGCCUAACACAUGCAAGUCGAACGAGCGAGAGAGAGCUUGCUUUCUCGAGCGAGUGGCGAACGGGUGAGUAACGCGUGAGGAACCUGCCUCAAAGAGGGGGACAACAGUUGGAAACGACUGCUAAUACCGCAUAAGCCCACGGGUCGGCAUCGACCAGAGGGAAAAGGAGCAAUCCGCUUUGAGAUGGCCUCGCGUCCGAUUAGCUAGUUGGUGAGGUAACGGCCCACCAAGGCAACGAUCGGUAGCCGGACUGAGAGGUUGAACGGCCACAUUGGGACUGAGACACGGCCCAGACUCCUACGGGAGGCAGCAGUGGGGAAUAUUGCACAAUGGGGGAAACCCUGAUGCAGCGACGCCGCGUGGAGGAAGAAGGUCUUCGGAUUGUAAACUCCUGUUGUUGGGGAAGAUAAUGACGGUACCCAACAAGGAAGUGACGGCUAACUACGUGCCAGCAGCCGCGGUAAAACGUAGGUCACAAGCGUUGUCCGGAAUUACUGGGUGUAAAGGGAGCGCAGGCGGGAAGACAAGUUGGAAGUGAAAUCUAUGGGCUCAACCCAUAAACUGCUUUCAAAACUGUUUUUCUUGAGUAGUGCAGAGGUAGGCGGAAUUCCCGGUGUAGCGGUGGAAUGCGUAGAUAUCGGGAGGAACACCAGUGGCGAAGGCGGCCUACUGGGCACCAACUGACGCUGAGGCUCGAAAGUGUGGGUAGCAAACAGGAUUAGAUACCCUGGUAGUCCACACCGUAAACGAUGAUUACUAGGUGUUGGAGGAUUGACCCCUUCAGUGCCGCAGUUAACACAAUAAGUAAUCCACCUGGGGAGUACGACCGCAAGGUUGAAACUCAAAGGAAUUGACGGGGGCCCGCACAAGCAGUGGAGUAUGUGGUUUAAUUCGACGCAACGCGAAGAACCUUACCAAGUCUUGACAUCCCUUGACAGACAUAGAAAUAUGUAUUCUCUUCGGAGCAGGGAGACAGGUGGUGCAUGGUUGUCGUCAGCUCGUGUCGUGAGAUGUUGGGUUAAGUCCCGCAACGAGCGCAACCCUUAUGGUCAGUUACUACGCAAGAGGACUCUGGCCAGACUGCCGUUGACAAAACGGAGGAAGGUGGGGAUGACGUCAAAUCAUCAUGCCCUUUAUGACUUGGGCUACACACGUACUACAAUGGCGUUAAACAAAGAGAAGCAAGACCGCGAGGUGGAGCAAAACUCAGAAACAACGUCCCAGUUCGGACUGCAGGCUGCAACUCGCCUGCACGAAGUCGGAAUUGCUAGUAAUCGUGGAUCAGCAUGCCACGGUGAAUACGUUCCCGGGCCU
rnacentral:rRNA from 1 species